rnacentral:lncRNA from 1 species
UUGAUAAUUUCAACAUACUAUAACACAUUACUAUUUUAUAAGUAUUUUUGAGAUAAUAACUAAUACGACUCUAUUUUUUAGAAUCAAGAUAUACAAAAUUGGUGUGUAAAAAACUAAAUCGUUUCACCGUUGACCCAAGGCCAAUAUGUGUUUGUCUGUUAGCCAAGUUAUCAAAAUCAACUCUCUAGCUCUCAUGCUCUUUCACGUCCUUUUCAGGUUCUUUCUAUUCAUACAUGGAAUUUGUAAUUUUGUGCUCAUAUUUCU